rfam:Tortispora caseinolytica NRRL Y-17796 unplaced genomic scaffold CANCAscaffold_2, whole genome shotgun sequence.
GGCAACAUGGCCGAGUGGUUAAGGCGAAAGACUCGAAUCACUUUAGAGAUCUUUUCUCCUCUGGAGUCGCAGGUUCGAAUCCUGCUGUUGUCG